GCCCGUUCCUCGCCCGCGCACGCGCCGCUCCGCCUCCUGAUUGGAUUGGCCCCCCCGGCGCCCCGGAUUGGCCCAGGCCGUCCAACAGCCGCCCUGCCCAGAGGAGGCCAUUGGUCCUUGCCCAUAGGGGCGGGGCACGGCGGAGACAAGCGGAAUUCGGCCUUCGGAAAGAGUCCCCGGGCCGGGGCACGGAGAGAGCCGAGCGCCGCAGCCAUGAGCCGAAUAGAGCCGGAGAGACCCGAGUAUGACCGGAGAAGCCCAGGCCGGCCGGAAGAGGAGCCGAGCGCGGCCGGAAGGAACCGAGCCCGUCCGAAGGGAGCAGAGCGCAGCUGGGCUUGCGGCCCGGUCCAUCCCGCGCCAUGGCGGCCGAGGGGACAGCUGUGGCCGGAGGCGGGGCUGUUGGCGGCUGCCCGGCCAAAGACGGCUUGCAGCAGUCUAAGUGCCCGGACACUACCCCAAAACGGCGGCGCGCCUCGUCGCUGUCGCGUGACGCCGAGCGCCGAGCCUACCAGUGGUGCCGGGAGUACUUGGGCGGGGCCUGGCGCCGAGUGCAGCCCGAGGAGCUGAGGGUUUACCCCGUGAGCGGAGGCCUCAGCAACCUGCUCUUCCGCUGCUCGCUCCCGGACCACCUGCCCAGCGUUGGCGAGGAGCCCCGGGAGGUGCUGCUGCGGCUGUACGGAGCCAUCCUGCAGCGCUUUGCGAGGCUGAGGCGAGAGGAUCACUUGAGCACAGGAGUUCGAGACCAGCCUGAACAACAUAGUGAGACCCCAUCUCUCAAUAAAAACAGACCAACGCUAGAGCCGUGCUCCAGAGCCUCCAGGCAACUGGACCAGAAGCCCCAGCUCUGGUGGGAGGAAAGCAAGCCCUCGUGGCUGUCCCUGUGCCACUUUGUCUUGGCCCUUUUGUUAUCCAUCCUUUCUCAGGGCGUGGACUCCCUGGUGCUGGAAAGCGUGAUGUUCGCCAUCCUUGCGGAGCGGUCGCUGGGGCCCCAGCUGUAUGGAGUCUUCCCAGAGGGCCGGCUGGAACAGUACAUCCCACCCCAUCACCACCCUGAUAGCUUCCUGGUGCAGAGCCGGCCAUUGAAAACUCAAGAGCUUCGAGAGCCAGUGUUGUCAGCAGCCAUUGCCACGAAGAUGGCGCAAUUCCAUGGCAUGGAGAUGCCUUUCACCAAGGAGCCCCACUGGUUGUUUGGGACCAUGGAGCGGUACCUAAAACAGAUCCAGGACCUGCCCCCAACUGGCCUCCCUGAGAUGAACCUCCUGGAGAUGUACAGCCUGAAGGAUGAGAUGGGCAACCUCAGGAAGUUACUAGAGUCUACCCCAUCGCCAGUCGUCUUCUGCCACAAUGACAUCCAGGAAGGGAACAUCUUGCUGCUCUCAGAGCCAGAAAAUGCUGACAGCCUCAUGCUGGUGGACUUCGAGUACAGCAGUUAUAACUAUAGGGGCUUUGACAUUGGGAACCAUUUUUGUGAGUGGGUUUAUGAUUAUACUCACGAGGAAUGGCCUUUCUACAAAGCAAGGCCCACAGACUACCCCACUCAAGGAGAGCAGCUGCAUUUUAUUCGCCAUUACCUGGCAGAGGCAAAGAAAGGUGAGACCCUCUCCCAAGAGGAGCAGAGAAAACUGGAAGAAGAUUUGCUGGUAGAAGUCAGUCGGUAUGCUCUGGCGUCCCAUUUCUUCUGGGGUCUGUGGUCCAUCCUCCAGGCAUCCAUGUCCACCAUAGAAUUUGGUUACUUGGACUAUGCCCAGUCUCGGUUCCAGUUCUACUUCCAGCAGAAGGGGCAGCUGACCAGUGUCCACUCCUCAUCCUGACUCUCCACCCUCCCACUCCUUGGAUUUCUCCUGGAGCCUCCAGGGCGGGACUUUGGAGGGAGGAGCAACGAGCAGAAGGCCGUGGGGACUGGGCUCAGCCCCCAAGUGAAACUGAGGUUCAGGAGACCGACCUCUCCCUGAGUUUGAGUGCCGACCAACCCCCAGGAUGGCGGAAGCGCACCAGGCCGUGGCCUUCCAGUUCACGGUGACCCCAGACGGGGUCGACUUCCGGCUCAGUCGGGAGGCCCUGAAACACGUCUACCUGUCUGGGAUCAACUCCUGGAAGAAACGCCUGAUCCGCAUCAAGAAUGGCAUCCUCAGGGGCGUGUACCCUGGCAGCCCCACCAGCUGGCUGGUCGUCGUCAUGGCAACAAUGGGUUCCUCCUUCUGCAACGUGGACGUCUCCUUGGGGCUGAUCGGUUGCAU